rnacentral:rRNA from 1 species
CCUGGCGGCCUUAGCGCGGUGGUCCCACCUGACCCCAUGCCGAACUCAGAAGUGAAACGCCGUAGCGCCGAUGGUAGUGUGGGGUCUCCCCAUGCGAGAGUAGG